rnacentral:rRNA from 1 species
UCCGAGGCCCCGUAAUCGGAAUGAAUACACUUUAAAUCCUUUAAUGAGGAUCCAUUGGAGGGCAAGUCUGGUGCCAGCAGCCGCGGUAAUUCCAGCUCCAAUAGCGUAUAUUAAAGUUGUUGCGGUUAAAAAGCUCGUAGUUGAAUCUGUGUCUCAUACCGUUGGUUCAUCGCUCGCGAUGUUAACUGGCGUGUUUUGGGACGUCCUACCGGUGGAUUUAGCGUUAUGAAAGUAAUGCGGUCCAACUAAUAUCCUAUCGCGGUGCUCUUAAUUGAGUGUCGAGGUAGGCCGGUACGUUUACUUUGAACAAAUUAGAGUGCUUAAAGCAGGCUUAUUUUGCCUGAAUACUGUGUGCAUGGAAUAAUAGAAUAGGACCUCGGUUCUAUUUUGUUGGUUUUCGGAAAUCCGAGGUAAUGAUUAAUAGGGACAGAUGGGGGCAUUCGUAUUGCGACGUUAGAGGUGAAAUUCUUGGAUCGUCGCAAGACGAACAGAAGCGAAAGCAUUUGCCAAAAAUGUUUUCAUUAAUCAAGAACGAAAGUUAGAGGUUCGAAGGCGAUCAGAUACCGCCCUAGUUCUAACCAUAAACGAUGCCAGCUAGCGAUCCGCCGAAGUUCCUCCGAUGACUCGGCGGGCAGCUUCCGGGAAACCAAAGCUUUUGGGUUCCGGGGGAAGUAUGGUUGCAAAGCUGAAACUUAAAGGAAU